rnacentral:rRNA from 1 species
GAUGAACGCUGGCGGAAUGCUUUACACAUGCAAGUCGAGCGGCAGCGCGGGGCAACCUGGCGGCGAGCGGCGAACGGGUGAGUAAUGCAUCGGAACGUACCCAGUCGUGGGGGAUAACUGUCCGAAAGGACAGCUAAUACCGCAUACGUCCUGAGGGAGAAAGCGGGGGAUCGCAAGACCUCGCGCGAUUGGAGCGGCCGAUGCCGGAUUAGCUAGUUGGUAGGGUAAAGGCCUACCAAGGCGACGAUCCGUAGCUGGUCUGAGAGGACGACCAGCCACACUGGAACUGAGACACGGUCCAGACUCCUACGGGAGGCAGCAGUGGGGAAUUUUGGACAAUGGGGGCAACCCUGAUCCAGCCAUUCCGCGUGAGUGAAGAAGGCCUCGG